rnacentral:rRNA from 1 species
GGAAGGAAUCUUGCGCAAUGGGCGAAAGCCAGACGCAGCAACGCCGCGUGGGGGAUGACGGCCUUCGGGUUGUAAACCCCUUUCAGAAGGGAAGAAAUUGACGGUACCUUCAGAAGAAGCCCCGGCCAACUACGUGCCAGCAGCCGCGGUAAUACAGAGACUGCAAGCGUUGUUCGGAUUUACUGGGCGUAAAGGGUGCGCAGGCGGCCGGGUGUGUCGGGUGUGAAAUUUCGAGGCUUAACCUCGAGACUGCGCCCGAAACUAUCCGGCUAGAGUACUGGAGAGGGAAGCGGAAUUCACGGUGUAGCAGUGAAAUGCGUAGAUAUCGUGAGGAACACCAAUGGCGAAGGCAGCUUCCUGGACAGUUACUGACGCUGAGGAGCGAAAGCGUGGGGAGCAAACAGGAUUAGAAACCCUAGUAGUCC